UCAUGCCUAAUUCUAUAACCCCCUUUUUAUAUUUAUUUUUUUAUUUUACUUCCUUGGUCUCAUAGAUGGUGUAUGUUUAUACCUCCCUCAGACAUAGAUGGACUGGUAGAUAUGAAGCUCAUAUAUGGGACUAUAGUUGCAAGAAGAAAGGAAGCCAAGAAAGGUUAUGAAUCUAUGAUAUGGAAUAGAAACCUGCAAGAGCCUAUAAUCUUGCUGCUCUUAAGUAUUGGGGACCUUCAAUCCAAAUUAACUUCUCGCUGAAAAAUUACCAGCAAGAACUCGAGGAAAUGCAGAACACAAGCCGUCAAGAAUUUGUUGCUCACUCGAGAAGGAAAGGUAGUGGUUUUUCUAGGGGGGCUUCGAUAUACCGAGGAGUGACAAGUUUCUAUUAAAAAUCAUUUUCUAUUAGAUCAUUUAUAACCGCUGAAUAUAUAUAUAGGCAUCAUCAGCAUGGAAGAUGGCAAGCUCAGAUGGGCCGCGUAGGAGGAAACAAGGACCUUUAUCUUGGGACAUUCAGUUGCUCGUAGAGAAGGAUGAUACUUGGAGGAUACAUAUGGAGUCUCUUCUUCUUCUUUUAUUUAUUUUUUAUUUUUUAUUUUUUUUUACGAUUUGAUGAGACAUUAAAAAUUCUUUUAUAUUCCUUGUUAUUGAGACGUAGUUACGCUAAUAAAUGCAUUGUAAUUCCUUUUUUUUAACUUGACUUUGUUGUGAAUUGGGUUUAUUUGAUUAGUAAAUUUGGUUAAUGAAUGGAUUGACCUUGAUUAUAAGAACUUGAAUUUUCCUUAAAUUUGCUUCAUUUAUAUAUAUUGUUAGAACAUUUUUAAAAAAGAGUGUCAUUUUUCGAAGCAUUUAUAUUUGCUGCCAUAUAUUUUUCAUAUAUGGCAGCAGAUACAAUUGCUACCAUGCCUAUAGCGACACAGGUUAUGACAGCAAAUACAAAUGCUGCCUAUAAAUGCUGCCAAGUAGCUACGGCAGCACCUUUUUUUUUUUUACUUCAAACAGCAAAUAAAAUUGCUGUUAGAGACCAUAAUUGUUGUAGUGGUUUUUUUAAGGUCAGGCCCAGUCCAAAGGAAUCUUCUCAGCAAGGCAUUGAUAUCCUUAAUCACUUUCAUUGGUAGAAUAAAGAUCUGACCAGUACAACUGUGUAGAAAUGAGUACUGACUUGAUAAGCACCAACCUACCUGCAUAGGAUAGACUUUUAGAUGCCCAGUGAUUAACUCUUGAAGUUAUCUUAUCCAACAAAACAUUGCAGUCAGCUGCCUCUAGCCCAGUGGAAAUGAGAGGGACUCCGAGCUACUUGAUUAGUAAUGUUCCAAUGUCAACUCCUAGAAAUGUGGACAUUUUGAUCUCAUUUGAGUAGUCCAUCCUGAGAAGAAGACUGAGCUUUUCAAGGGAUUGAUAUUCAGUCCAGAGAAGUCUGAGAAGAGAUCAAGUGCAGACUUAAGGGUGGAUACUGAGGCAAUGUCUCCAUGGCAUAGGAGCAAUAGAUCAUCAGCAAAUGACAGGAAAGCACUUCCAUUGAUAGAACAAAGAGUGAAGGGGAUAGCGGGUCGCCUUGUCUUAAGCCUCUGGUUCCAUGGAAGUAGCCAUGAAAUGCACCAUUGACUUGUUUGUUGAUUUUAUUGAAUGGUUUUGGAUGGUGAGAUUAUUAUUCUUAAAUAUUUUCUUUACUUUAUUUUACCCUCAAAUGCUUUUCAGGACAGAAAAGGGCAACGGAAAACCGGAACAUUUUGGAAACUCACCAAGAGACUGGUAUAGAGGGUGGAGCUGCAUGAACACAUUGAUCACUAAAGGAUUGGUUGUUAAGUUGUCCGGCGAAGUACAUGCGGACUCAAGAAGGACAGGAAGCAGCACAUGAAUGUCUCUUGAGCUCUGGUCUGCUUGCGCAGAUUCGGCAAAAAAAUGACCCUUCCAUCUGGUGGUUUGAUUGGGCAGAAAAUAUCAAUUGACGUGCUGCCUGAAUCAUUUGAUAGGGUAUACAAUGUUUUGGGUUAUACGUAUCAUUUUUUUAGAGGAUUUAAAUAUUAAAGUUACACCCUCUCCAAUAGCUUAAGCUUUUAGAGUAGAUGGUGGACAACAUCAUCGAUAGUUUUCUGCUUUCCAAGUAUUGUGAUGUUAUGUGCAAGAUGAGAAUUACUUGCCACUUUUAUGUCUUCAUUGCUAUAGUAAUUUCUGAAACUUCUAUUUCUUAAUUUAUUACUUCUAGUGGAUGUAUAUUCUUUUGAAUGCUAGUAAUUGGUUGCAUCAUUUUUUAUUGUGUGAUAUCCCCAUUUACUAUUUCCCAGUUUAUUACUUUUCCUUACUUUUUUCUUGUAUUAUAAACAUUUGUUCUGUCUUGGGUGAAGUUGGUUAGAAAUUCACGAAAAGCCUUUUUUUAAUAGAUACACAAUCAGGCUCAAACUCAAAAUAUUAAACAGAGAGGGAAGGCCUAAUACCUGUAAGCCAAUAGGAUUGAAAAAAUUGUAGUAGAUGUUAAUCCUAACCGAAAUACUUUUGUUUGGAUAGCAUUCGCUGGUUGCCGUUGUUAUAGCUAUUCCUUUUGGUAAUGAAACUUUCUGCACCAAUAAAUUCAAAUGGUUAUAAAGAAAUUUUUAAUUUAGUUAAAAGUUUUAUACCAAUAAUUUACCUAGUUGUCGCAACAAGUUCCUUCGGAAGUACUGGAACAGAGUUUUAUAAGUAAUGCUAUGUGUUAUAUUUGAAUUCUAGAAAUAGCUCAUGGUGCCAUAAAUUUCUUGAAUAUUUCUCAAGGCUCUUCCGUUUUUUAGUUCUCUUUGGACGAUCUCUUGUAUCUUAUUCUGACAAAAAAAAACAUAAAAUGUUUUCUAGGAUUUCUUAAGCUGAACCCAAUCGGGUGUGAGAUGAUGCAUGGUGGAGAUGGAUUUGGGUAUAGAAAUAAUGCUGGGGAGACUAUCUUUGACUUUGCAAGUGGAUCAAAUAUAAGUUAAGUUGAAGCUGAACCCAUUUCAUGCGGACCUUUAGAAGUUGAAUUGAAGUAGGUGUAUUGAUGGCAAGGGAGUAUCAGAUGCAUUACUACAUGCUUGGUUACAAUCACUUCUGAAAUUGACUCAGGAUUAUCUAGUUAAUGUGACACUCACUCUUCCACUACAUAUAAUGUGUGCGUAGAUGUUUCAUGUAAUCUGUUGUAGCUGUUACUUCCAAUCAGUCACUCUCUCUCCCCACAUGAGAUAAAUUAUUUUCUCUAUUUUGUUAUACCAAAGGAUCAUUAUGUAGUGUGAUCCUUGUUAA